rnacentral:lncRNA from 1 species
GGCGGUAGGCUUAUGGCAAUUCCAAAAAAAUGCCCCUUUUUCUGCCUAGGUAUAGUGUGUUUUUAUGGAUAAAAUUUACAAUUACUUGCGGCCAAUUUGGAGGAAAUUGUCAUGCGAACGCCUGUAAAUCCGGGCCAGGAGCAAUGGCCAUUUUGAAAGCAUUUCCCGAAAAUACCAAUAUUAUAUGAUGCAUGCAAAAUUUACCAGUGUGAACAAGCAUGUUUUAUAUAAUGACAUUAGUUUUCUUUUUUUUUUGUUCAGAAUUGCAAUUUUUUGGCAUUAUGCAGUUUGUACUUUAUCAUGUAUCUAGAAUAGCCUAUGAACUCCCCCAUCCUCAUAUUCGUAUUGAUUAUAUUGCUUUUAUAGUAUUUUAACUUUUUAUGUUUUCUGGAGAGGUGUAUGCUCGGGGCUGCAUUUCCUACUUGGCGUUAUGUCGACUGGUAGUAGAGGAGGGUUUUAGUGGUUUUAGUAGUGAUAGUAGCGGUAUUAGUAAUGAAGGUGGAGGUGGCAGUUAUAGAGCUUUAGCAGUGCUCCUAGUGAAAAGAGUUAUACAGGAGCAGCAACAACAGCAGAAGUAAUAGUUGUAAUUCUUGUUCUAGAUGUAUUAGUUGCAGUUGUAAAAGAAGUGAUUUCGACGGUUGAGAUAGAUAAACACUUUUGGAUGUGGAAGAGGUGUUAUAAUAGUAGCUGUUGAAGUAGUAGUAUCAGUGGUUGUAGUAUUCAAAGUUUCUUUUACAAAUAUCAUUGUCUGUUUUCACUUGAAGUCAAAUACACUUGGGACACUAUAAGAAAUGUCAGGAGACGUGAAACUUGACUCGCAUCACUCAACACGUCCACCUCCUAUUGCGCUUGGUAUUAACGUAGAAAAGGCCAAAAUUUCCCCAGUAUGCUGUCUAUUCUAAACGUCUUGAAUCAUUUGAAGCUUGGCAAGAAUACAUCCCAGUUGACAAGAUUGACCUCGUUGAUGCAGGACUGGUAUACACUGGUGUCGGUGACAGCGUGAGAUGUUACUUCUGUGGAGGUGGAUUGAGAAAUUGGGAGCGUGGCGAUGUUCCUAUGGAAGAACAUGCAAAAUGGUACCCUAAAUGUCCCCACAUUCUACUGGUCAAAGGGCACGCUUACGUAGAAAAACUCAGCCGUGGCGAAAACCGGACGUAGACGUACACUUUGACACAUCUGCGAAACCAAAUUUAAUAGACAGUAUAGCUGCACAAAGUUGUAUAGAGAUAGGCUACACAGAUCAUAUGGUCCAAAAAUCAAUCGACAUAUACACCAACAAAUAUGG